CAGUACCGCGGGAAUACGAAGGGUGCAAGCGUUACUCGGAAUUACUGGGCGUAAAGCGUGCGUAGGUGGUGGUUUAAGUCCGUUGUGAAAGCCCUGGGCUCAACCUGGGAAUUGCAGUGGAUACUGGGUCACUAGAGUGUGGUAGAGGAUAGUGGAAUUUCCGGUGUAGCAGUGAAAUGCGUAGAGAUCGGAAGGAACAUCUGUGGCGAAGGCGACUAUCUGGGCCAACACUGACACUGAGGCACGAAAGCGUGGGGAGCAAACAGGAUUAGAUACCCCCGUAGUCCCUGUCUCUUAUACA
rnacentral:rRNA from 1 species